UAAUACAGAGGGGGCAAGCGUUGUUCGGAAUUACUGGGCGUAAAGGGCGCGUAGGCGGCCGCCUAAGUCAGACGUGAAAUCCCUCGGCUCAACCGGGGAACUGCGUCUGAUACUGGGUGGCUUGAAUCCGGGAGAGGGAUGCGGAAUUCCAGGUGUAGCGGUGAAAUGCGUAGAUAUCUGGAGGAACACCGGUGGCGAAGGCGGCAUCCUGGACCGGCAUUGACGCUGAGGCGCGAAAGCCAGGGGAGCAAACGGGAUUAGAUACCCCGGUAGUCCUGGCCCUAAACGAUGAGUGCUUGGUGUGGCGGGUAUCGAUCCCUGCCGUGCCGAAGCUAACGCAUUAAGCACUCCGCCUGGGGAGUACGGUCGCAAGGCUG
rnacentral:rRNA from 1 species